rnacentral:lncRNA from 1 species
UGUAUGUCAUGAUACAGGAGAGAGAGAAGUGGUUUUCCAGAGUGGCAAGAGGACACGGUCCCAGUGCCCUGGUGAAGUGCUCUCCUCUGCAAGGAGCAGGUCCAGUUCAUCCCUGGGAACAGGAAGGAAGGCAGGGCCAAGGGGCAGAGAUUCAGUUCUGAGAGAAUAAAUCAGUUCUCCUCCAAUUGCUUCUAUUUUCUCACUACAAUCAAUGAGAAGCAAUAUCAUCAGAUGGGAAUGAGAAAGGGAAGGAGUUCUAAGGAGAGAUGAGAACAUUUGAAACAGCCAUCUCAGAGUUUGUGCCUUCGUGCUCACAGUCACCGCAUGACUACAAAAUGGCGACUCUGCCUCCAGCAUUGCAUCAGCAUUCCAGGGAGAAGAAAUGGGACAACAGAUGAUGAAAGCAACCCCCUUGACAAAAUUGCUGAAGCAAUAUGGGACUUUUUAAGAUUACAAGAGCCACGUGGUUAAUAUUACUGGAAUGUUUUCAUGAGUGUGAAAUGCAGUUGUCACAGAGAAGCUUCUACUCAUCAUCUUAAGGCAAACACCAAAGUUCUUCAGAACAACUGAUUCCCCCUACAAGGAGAAAUAUCCAAGGCCUUCAUCCACCAGAACAGUCAAAUCAUUGAAAUUUAUCAGGCCUCGUGCAGUGGCUCACGCCUGUAAUCCCAGCACUUUGGGACACCGAGGUGGGUGGAUCACUUGAGGUCAGGA